AACGAACGCUGGCGGCAUGCCUAACACAUGCAAGUCGAACGAGACCUUCUGGUCUAGUGGCGCACGGGUGCGUAACGCGUGGGAACCUGCCCUUAGGUUCGGAAUAAAGCCCCGGAAGAGAUGCUAAUACCGGAGAAUGUCUUCGGACCAAAGAUUUAUCGCCUUUGGAUGGGCCCGCGUUGGAUUAGCUAGUUGGUAGGCUAAAAGCCUACCAAGGCGACGAUCCAUAGCUGGUCUGAGAGGAUGAUCAGCCACACUGGGACUGAGACACGGUCCAGCCUCCUACGGGCGGCAGCAGUGGGGAAUAUUCGACAAUGGGCGAACUCCUGAUCCAGCAAUGCCGCGUGAGUGAUGAAGGCCUUAGGGUUGUAAAGCUCUUUUACCCGGGAUGAUAAUGACAGUACCGGGAGAAUAGGCGCCGGCUAACUCCGUG
rnacentral:rRNA from 1 species